GACGAGGGAUCCUAGCGUUGCUCGGAAUUAUUGGGCGUAAAGCGGGUGUAGGUGGCUUGGUAAGUCGGGUGUGAAAGCCCAGGGCUCAACCCUGGAAGUGCAUUCGAUACUACUGAGCUUGAGUGCGAGAGAGGUUAAUAGAAUACCUGGUGUAGUGGUGAAAUACGUAGAUAUCAGGUGGAACACCGGAGGCGAAGGCGGUUAACUGGCUCGACACUGACACUGAGACCCGAAAGUGCGGGGAUCAAACAG
rnacentral:rRNA from 1 species